AUUGAACGCUGGCGGCAUGCUUUACACAUGCAAGUAGGACGAGUGGCGAACGGGUGAGUAACGCAUCGGAACGUACGGAGUAAUGGGAGAUAAUUGUCCGAAAGGACAGCUAAUACUGCAAAUUAUUCGAUCGGCUGAUGUCUGAUUAGCUGGCUGGGGGGGUAAAGGCUCACCAAGGCGAAGAUCAGUAGCGGGUCUGAGAGGAUGAUCCGCCACACUGGGACUGAGACACGGCCCAGACUCCUACGGGAGGCAGCAGUGGGGAAUUUUAGACAAUGGGCGCAAGCCUGAUCCAGCCAUGCCGCGUGUCUGAAGAAGGCCUUCGGGUUGUAAAGGACUUUUGUCAGGGAAGCGGUACCUGAACAAUAAGCACCGGCUAACUCCGUGCCAGCCGCCGCGGUAAUAC
rnacentral:rRNA from 1 species